UCUGGUUGAUCCUGCCAGUAGUUAUAUGCUUGUCUCAAAGAUUAAGCCAUGCAUGUCUAAGUACACACGAAUUAACAGUGAAACCGCAAAUGGCUCAUUAUAUCAGUUAUGGUUCCUUAGAUCGUUAACAGUUACUUGGAUAACUGUGGUAAUUCUAGAGCUAAUACAUGCAAUUAAAACACGGACCUCUUGGAACGUGUGCUUUUAUUAGGCUAAAACCAAGCGAUCGCAAGAUCGUUAUAUUGGUUGAACUCUAGAUAACAUGCAGAUCGUAUGGUCUUGUACCGACGACAGAUCUUUCAAAUGUCUGCCCUAUCAACUUUUGAUGGUAGUAUCUAGGACUACCAUGGUUGCAACGGGUAACGGGGAAUCAGGGUUCGAUUCCGGAGAGGGAGCCUGAGAAACGGCUACCACAUCUAAGGAAGGCAGCAGGCGCGUAAAUUACCCACUCCCAGCUCGGGGAGGUAGUGACGAAAAAUAACAAUACAGGACUCAUAUCCGAGGCCCUGUAAUUGGAAUGAGUACACUUUAAAUCCUUUAACAAGGACCUAUUGGAGGGCAAGUCUGGUGCCAGCAGCCGCGGUAAUUCCAGCUCCAAUAGCGUAUAUUAAAGUUGUUGCGGUUAAAACGUUCGUAGUUGAACUUGUGCUUCAUACGGGUAGUACAACUUACAAUUGUAGUUAGUACUAUACCUUUAUGUAUAUAAGCGUAUUACCGGUGGAGUGCUUAUAUUUAAUUAAAUACUUGUAUUUGUUAUAUAUUCCUCCUAUUUAAAAACCUGCAUUAGUGCUCUUCAUCGAGUGUAUUGUGGGCCGGUACAAUUACUUUGAACAAAUUAGAGUGCUUAAAGCAGGCUUCAAAUGCCUGAAUAUUCUGUGCAUGGGAUAAUGAAAUAAGACCUCUGUUCUGCUUUCAUUGGUUUUCAGAUCAAGAGGUAAUGAUUAAUAGAAGCAGUUUGGGGGCAUUAGUAUUACGACGCGAGAGGUGAAAUUCUUGGACCGUCGUAAGACUAACUUAAGCGAAAGCAUUUGCCAAAGAUGUUUUCAUUAAUCAAGAACGAAAGUUAGAGGUUCGAAGGCGAUCAGAUACCGCCCUAGUUCUAACCAUAAACGAUGCCAGCUAGCAAUUGGGUGUAGCUACUUUUAUGGCUCUCUCAGUCGCUUCCCGGGACCCCAAAGCUUUUGGGCUCCGGGGGAAGUAUGGUUGCAAAGCUGAAACUUAAAGGAAUUGACGGAAGGGCACCACCAGGAGUGGAGCCUGCGGCUUAAUUUGUUUUAGAUUUGUCUGGUUAAUUCCGAUAACGAACGAGACUCAAAUAUAUUAAAUAGAUAUUUUCAGGAUUAUUGUGUUGAAGCUUAUAUAGCCUUCAUUCAUAGUGGCAGUAAAAUGUUUAUUGUGUUUGAAUGUGUUUAUAUAAGUGAAGCCGUACCUGUUGGUUUUUCCAAUUAUAAGGACACUAGCUUCUUAAAUGGACAAAUUGCGUCUAGCAAUAAUGAGAUUAAGCAACAAAAGGUCUGUGAUGCCCUUAGAUGUCCUGGGCUGCACGCGCGCUACAAUGAAAGUAUCAAGGUGUAUUUCCUAGACCCAGAGAUCCGUGUAAACCGCUGAACCCUUUUCAUGCUUGGGAUUGUGAACUGAAGCUGUUCACAUGAACUUGGAAUUCCCAGUAAGUGUGAGUCAUUAACUCGCAUUAAUUACGUCCCUGCCCUUUGUAUACACCGCCCGUCGCUACUACCGAUUGAAUUAUUUAGGGAGGUCUCCGGACGUGAUCACUGUGACGCCUUGUGUGUUGCGGUUGUUUCGCAAAAGUUGACCGAACUUGAUUAUUUAGAGGAAGUAAAAGUCGUAACAAGGUUUCCGUAGGUGAACCUGCGGAAG
rnacentral:rRNA from 1 species